GAUGAACGCUGGCGGCGUGCUUAACACAUGCAAGUCGAACGGGAUCCAUCAAGCUUGCUUGGUGGUGAGAGUGGCGAACGGGUGAGUAAUGCGUGACCGACCUGCCCCAUGCUCCGGAAUAGCUCCUGGAAACGGGUGGUAAUGCCGGAUGUUCCACAUGAUCGCAUGUGAUUGUGGGAAAGAUUCUAUCGGCGUGGGAUGGGGUCGCGUCCUAUCAGCUUGUUGGUGAGGUAACGGCUCACCAAGGCUUCGACGGGUAGCCGGCCUGAGAGGGCGACCGGCCACAUUGGGACUGAGAUACGGCCCAGACUCCUACGGGAGGCAGCAGUGGGGAAUAUUGCACAAUGGGCGCAAGCCUGAUGCAGCGACGCCGCGUGAGGGAUGGAGGCCUUCGGGUUGUAAACCUCUUUUGUUUGGGAGCAAGCCUUCGGGUGAGUGUAC
rnacentral:rRNA from 1 species